GCCCGGCUAGCUCAAUCGGUAGAGCGUGAGACUCUUAAUCUCAAGGUUGGGGGUUAGAGCCCCCCGUUGGGCU
rfam:Verticillium longisporum isolate VL1 genome assembly, contig: scaffold_19